AUUGAACGCUGGCGGCAGGCCUAACACAUGCAAGUCGAGCGGAGCGGCGGACGGGUGAGUAAUGCCUAGGAAUCUGCCUGGUAGUGGUGGAUAACGUCCGGAAACGGGCGCUAAUACCGCAUACUAUCAGAUGAGCCUAGGUCGUAUUAGCUAGUUGGUGGGGUAAAGGCCUACAAAGGCGACGAUCCGUAACUGGUCUGAGAGGAUGAUCAGUCAAACGGGAACUGGGACACGGUCCAGACUCCUACGGGAGGCAGAAGUGGGGAAUAUUGGACAAUGGGGGAAAGCCUGAGCCAGCCAGGCCGCGUGGGUGAAGAAGGUCUUCGGAUUGUAAAGCACGUUAAGCGGGGAGGCGUUACCAACAGAAUAAGCACCGGCUAACUUCGUGCCAGCAGCCGCGGUAAUUC
rnacentral:rRNA from 1 species